AUGGUGCGGCAGAGGAAUGGCCAGGAACUGCUGCAAGAGGACCAUCGAGAGAAAUCAGAAUCUGAUCAUGCACGCAGCCCCACCCCCUUGGCGCCUUCUAUCCCACGGCCCGAGGAAAGUGGGGAAGAAAGGAAUGCUGGGCAGGGGGACCCCACGCUCAUGUCCCCGCAUGCCGCGCAAAUUGAGGAUGGUGGGUUGGAUGAGGAAUUCAGUGCCUUAUCGGGAUUGGGCUCGGAGGGCCCACAUUGCAUGCACGAUGCUGACGCACCCAUGCAUGAGGAUGGAGUGUUUAUGGUGAGCCUCUCGGCGGAAACGAUGGUUGCUAGGCAGGAUGCAGAUGUCCCUUUAGACGCCCCCGCUCCGUAG
rnacentral:rRNA from 1 species